AUAUCAGUGAAUGUAAGACGUUAGUUAGUUACCAUAAGAC
rnacentral:sRNA from 1 species